ensembl:snRNA U6 U6 spliceosomal RNA
GUGCUCACUUCGGCAGCACGUAUACUAAAAAUUGGAACGAUACAGAGAAGAUUAGCAUGGCCCCUGAGCAAGGAUGACACGCAAAAACUUCAGAAGGACCUAGUCUGA